GUUCCUACGGGGCGCAGCAGUGGGGGAUAUUGCACAAUGGGGGGAACCCUGAUGCAGCGACGCCGCGUGGGUGAAGGAGUGCUUCGGCAUGUAAAGCCCUAUCGGCAGGGAAGAAGCAAGACGGUACCUGACUAAGAAGCCCCGGCUAACUACGUGCCAGCAGCCGCGGUAAUACGUAGGGGGCGAGCGUUAUCCGGAUUUACUGGGUGUAAAGGGAGCGUAGACGGCGAUGCAAGUCUGAAGUGAAAGGCGGGGGCCCCACCCCCGGACUGCUUUGGAAACUGUAUGGCU
rnacentral:rRNA from 1 species